rnacentral:rRNA from 1 species
UACGGGAGGCAGCAGUGAGGAAUAUUGGUCAAUGGACGGAAGUCUGAACCAGCCAUGCCGCGUGCAGGAAGACGGCUCUAUGAGUUGUAAACUGCUUUUGUACGAGGGUAAACGCAGAUACGUGUAUCUGCCUGAAAGUAUCGUACGAAUAAGGAUCGGCUAACUCCGUGCCAGCAGCCGCGGUAAUACGGAGGAUCCAAGCGUUAUCCGGAUUUAUUGGGUUUAAAGGGUGCGUAGGCGGUUUAGUAAGUCAGCGGUGAAGUUUUGGUGCUUAACACCAAACGUGCCGUUGAUACUGCUGGGCUAGAGAGUAGUUGCGGUAGGCGGAAUGUAUGGUGUAGCGGUGAAAUGCUUAGAGAUCAUACAGAACACCGAUUGCGAAGGCAGCUUACCAAACUAUAUCUGACGUUGAGGCACGAAAGCGUGGGGAGCAAACAGGAUUAGAUACCCUGGUAGUCCACGCAGUAAACGAUGAUAGCUCGUUGUCGGCGAUACACAGUCGGUGACUAAGAGAAAUCGAUAAGCUAUCCACCUGGGGAGUACGUUCGCAAGAAUGAAACUCAAAGGAAUUGACGGGGGCCC